rnacentral:tRNA from 1 species
GGAUGUAGCUCAAGUGGUAGAGCGCAUGCUUAGCAUGCACAAGGCCCUGGGUUCAAUUCCCAGUACUUCCU